UACGUAGGGUGCAAGCGUUGUCCGGAAUUAUUGGGCGUAAAGAGCUCGUAGGCGGUUUGUCGCGUCUGCUGUGAAAACCCGAGGCUCAACCUCGGGCCUGCAGUGGGUACGGGCAGACUAAAGUGCGGUAGGGGAGAUUGGAAUUCCUGGUGUAGCGGUGGAAUGCGCAGAUAUCAGGAGGAACACCGAUGGCGAAGGCAGAUCUCUGGGCCGUAACUGACGCUGAGGAGCGAAAGCAUGGGGAGCGAACAGG
rnacentral:rRNA from 1 species